rnacentral:rRNA from 1 species
AUUGAACGCUGGCGGCAUGCCUUACACAUGCAAGUCGAACGGCAGCACGGACUUCGGUCUGGUGGCGAGUGGCGAACGGGUGAGUAAUAUAUCGGAACGUGCCCUGGAGUGGGGGAUAAC